UUGGAGGGUUUGAUCCUGGCUCAGAGUGAACGCUGGCGGCGUGGAUAAGGCAUGCAAGUCGAGCGAUCCCGACGCAGCGAGGAAGUCGAGCCUUCGGGUGAGACUGACGAGCAACGUCGGGAUAGCGGCAAACGGGUGAGUAAUGCGUGGGUAACGUACCUUGGAGAGGGGGAUAGCUCCGAGAAAUCGGAGGUAAUACCCCAUGGUCUCCUAAGACUGAAAUGGCUUAGGAGUAAAGGUGGCCUCUCCCGACGUUAUGUCGGGAUGCUAUCGCUCCAAGAGCGGCUCACGUCCUAUCAGGUAGUUGGUAGGGUAAUGGCCUACCAAGCCUAAGACGGGUAGCUGGCAUUAGCGUGUGGUCAGCCACACCGGGACUGAGACACUGCCCGGACUCCUACGGGAGGCUGCAGUCGAGAAUCUUUCCCAAUGGGCGAAAGCCUGAGGAUGCGACGCCGCGUGGGGGAUGAAGCGCUUCGGCGUGUAAACCCCUUUUAUCGGGGAGGAAAUCC
rnacentral:rRNA from 1 species